GAUGAACGCUGGCGGCGUGCCUAAUACAUGCAAGUCGAGCGUACGGACGAGAAGCUUGCUUCUCUGAUGUUAGCGGCGGACGGGUGAGUAACACGUGGAUAACCUACCUAUAAGACUGGGAUAACUUCGGGAAACCGUAGCUAAUACCGGAUAAUAUUUUGAACCGCAUGGUUCAAAAGUGAAAGACGGUCUUGCUGCCACUUAUAGAUGGAUCCGCGCUGCAUUAGCUAGUUGGUAAGGUAACGGCUUACCAAGGCAACGAUGCAUAGCCGACCUGAGAGGGUGAUCGGCCACACUGGAACUGAGACACGGUCCAGACUCCUACGGGAGGCAGCAGUAGGGAAUCUUCCGCAAUGGGCGAAAGCCUGACGGAGCAACGCCGCGUGAGUGAUGAAGGUCUUCGGAUCGUAAAACUCUGUUAUUAGGGAAGAACAUAUGUGUAAGUAACUGUGCACAUCUUGACGGUACCUAAUCAGAAAGCCACGGCUAACUACGUG
rnacentral:rRNA from 1 species